GUUUCAGCUUAGUUUAUCUAAAACUUCAGUGCACGGUUGCAGGAAUCAGCUGACACAGAUCGCUGGCACAGGCUGGUUAGUUAUUUAAUGGUUUCAGCUUAGUUUAUCUAAAACUUCAGUGCACGGUUGCAGGGAUCAGCUGAAACAGAUCGCUGGUACAGGCUGGUUAGUUAUUUAAUGGUUUCAGCCAAGUUUAUCUAAAACUUCAGUGCGCGGUUGCAGGGAUCAGCUGACACAGAUCCCUUGCACAGGCUGGUUAGUUAUUUAAUGGUUUCAGCCAAGUUUAUCUAAAACUUCAGUGCGCGGUUGCAGGGAUCAGCUGACACAGAUCCCUGGCACAGGCUGGUUAGUUAUUUAAUGGUUUCAACUUAGUUUAUUUGAUCUAAAACUUCAGUGCACGGUUGCAGGGAUCCGCUGACACAGAUCGCUGUCACAGGCUGGUUAGUUAUUUAAAUGGUUUCAGGUUAGUUUAUUUGAUCUAAGACUUCAGUGCAUGGUCGCAAAGAUCAGCUGACACAGAUCCCUGACACACGCUGGUUAGUUAUUUAAUGGUUUCAGCUUAGUUUAUUUUCUCUAAAACUUCAGUGCACGGUUGCAGGGAUCAGCUGACACAGAUCGCUGGCACAGGCUGGUUAGUUAUUUAAAUGGUUUCAACUUAGUUUAUCAUAAAAAACUUCAGUGCACGGUUGCAGGAAUCAGCUGAAACAGAUCGCUGGCACAGGCUGGUUAGUUAUUUAAUGGUUUCAGCUUAGUUUAUCUAAAACUUCAGUGCACGGUUGCAGGGAUCAGCUGACACAGAUCGCUGGCACAGGCUGGUUAGUUAUUUAAUGGUUUCAGCUUAGUUUAUCUAAAACUUCAGUGCACGGUUGCAGGGAUCAGCUGACACAGAUCGCUGGCACAGGCUGGUUAGUUAUUUAAUGGUUUCAACUUAGUUUAUCUAAAACUUCAGUGCACGGUUGCAGGAAUCAGCUGACACAGAUCGCUGGCACAGGCUGGUUAGUUAUUUAAUGGUUUCGGUUUGGUUUAUUUUAUCUAAAACUUCAGUGCACGGUUGCAGGGAUCAGCUGACACAGAUCGCUGGCACAGGCUGGUUGGUUAUUUAAUGGUUUCAGCUUAGUUUAUUUGAUCUAAAACUUCAGUGCACGGUUGCAGGGAUCAGCUGACACAGAUCGCUGGCACAGGCUGGUUAGUUAUUUAAUGGUUUCAGCUUAGUUUAUUUGAUCUAAAACUUCAGUGCACGGUUGCAGGGAUC
ensembl:lncRNA